UUCGAGACGAAAUUUAUUUAAGGGGGAGAGAAUUGUAACACCCCUAUGUUCGGUAGUACGUACUACUGUUCCGGUGACCAGUGUUGUCCGGACAGCUAGGAUGCCUAGAACUACACUUCGAUAUGAGUGAGGAGACAUAAAAUAAUGAAAUGCAAGAAAAGAAAAUACAAGAAAAACAAAGAAAAAAUAAUAGCAAAGAAAUAUAACCAAGUUAAGCGAGCUGAGAACCCUAGUGAUGGGUGACCGCACCGGGAAGUCACGGCGUGGACCGUUGACUAGCCCUGGACCGCGGGAACCCUAGAAAAUAUUUUUAGGAAUUAAAUAGACCCCCUAUUGAAGUAUAAAUAUCAUUAGAAAUAUUAAAUAAAAAUUAAAUAAUUAGUAUAAAGAAAAGUGGGAAAUCGAAAAACGGACAAAACCCAGUGUUACCGAAAAAUCGGGAAUGCAACCCGAACUGGGGCAUUGCAGUCAUUUGACACCCCGAGUUAUCUUUUGACCUAAAUGUCCAUUAAAAAUAAAUAAUAUUACACUUGGAAAAUAUAAUGAAAAAUUAAUUUAGGGGUACCUAAUAUAAAUAGCAAAAAUGGAGUUCAAAUUAGGUAAUUAACAUAUUUAAACAUAUAAAAUAAUUGAUUUUAUGUAAGUGGAGCACUAUGGGGAUUAAAUAAAUAUUAUGUGGGACACUUAAGAGCUAAAAUGGGCAGAAUAUUUCAUCUUCUUCAACCUUUCCAAAGGGCAGCCGAAACCAAGAAUGGAGUUCCUCCAUGGAUGCAUGGGUUGAAGCUUCAUGCAAGCUUGAUCUAAGCCACUUUCCAUGCACCUUCUUUCAUUAAAGUUAAUCCUCAUACCAUGGGCAGUAGAUAGGCAACAAGAAAACCAAGUAUUGGAGAGGUUUUGAAGAAUUUCCAAAGUGUUAGCAAAGACUCAGGGAAAGGGAAGGAAAUACUGAGUUAAGACCAGGAGACAGUUAUCAGAGGUAGACAGACGGACAGGGCAGCAGACUAGGCUGCUAAUACAUCCAGCGAGAGAUUAUCGGGUAUAUUGAGUAUACCACAUUUUGCAUUUUGUAUUAUAAUGUAUGUACACUAUAUGUAUAUAUUGUUUUUGGUUUUGAGCAGUUGUAAAUUAAAAUUGUACACUGAAGUUGUAAAGUAAAUUAUGAGAUAUUUUGGCUUGAAAAUUUUGUACUGUAUUUCUUUAUCUCAGUCUUUGAAAAAUUACUGUAGAUUUGAAUUGAGAAA